UAUUGCACAUGCAAGUAAUAGUCCUUUUUAAUUUUGUCAAGUUACUGCCCUAGCAAAAAGAGUGCAAGAAGUUACUAGGUUGAUUCAUCCUCUUAUGGGGAUUCCAUUGUACAUUAAGCCUAGUCUGAGAACUAUGGAUACACUGAAAACCUUUUGGUAUAAUUUCUUUAUGGAUACUAUGAACCCAUUGACAGCAUUAAAAAGGACUAUUACUUGCAUGUGCA
rnacentral:misc_RNA from 1 species